rnacentral:rRNA from 1 species
AUGGAUUCCAUCUUGGCGAAUGAAACUUGGGAGAUAACUGAUCGUCCUUAUGGGUGCAAACCUAUAGGAUGCAAAUGGGUAUUCAAGAAGAAGCUUAGGCCCGAUGGCUUUGUUGUGAACGAAGCUGACAAAUGUGUGUACUAUCGCCAUGGUGGGGGCGAGGGAGUUAUGCUUUGCUUGUAUGUUGAUGACAUACUGAUUUUCGGAACAAAUCUGAAUGUUAUUAAGGAGGUCAAGGAUUUCCUAUCUCGCUGUUUUGAGAUGAAGGAUUUAGGAGUGGCUGAUGUCAUCCUGAACAUCAAGUUGUUGAGAGAUGAUGAUGGUGGGAUUACAUUGCUUCAAUCUCACUAUGUGGAAAAGAUCUUGAGUCGCUUUGGCUAUAGUGACUGCACUGCAAAUUAUGGAAUUCACUACACCGGGCACCCAAAGGUGCUUGAAGGGUAUAGUGACUCAAACUGGAUAUCAGAUGCUGAUGAGAUAAAGGCCACGAGCGGAUAUGUAUUCACUCAUGGAGGUGGCGCUGUUUCUUGGAAGUCUUGCAAGCAGACCAUCUUAACAAGGUCAACAAUGGAAGCAGAACUCACAGCACUAGAUACAGCUACGGUUGAAGCAGAUUGGCUUCGCCGGCUCUUGAAUGACUUGCCGGUUGUUGAGAAACCUGUACCGGGUGUCCUUAUGAACUGCGACAAUCAAACUAUGAUCACAAAAGUGAGCAGCUCAAAGGAUAAC